rnacentral:SRP_RNA from 1 species
GUUGGCAGCCUCACAGGCUCGGAAGUCAGCAGCUAGGCGUCGGGCGUUCGACGCUGAC